rnacentral:rRNA from 1 species
UACGGAGGGUGCAAGCGUUAUCCGGAUUCACUGGGUUUAAAGGGUGCGUAGGCGGGUUGGUAAGUCCGUGGUGAAAUCUCCAAGCUUAACUUGGAAACUGCCGUGGAUACUAUCAAUCUUGAAUAUCGUGGAGUAAGCGGAAUAUGUCAUGUAGCGGUGAAAUGCUUAGAUAUACAUAGAACACCAAUUGCGUAGGCAGCUUACUACACGAUCAUUGACGCUGAGGCACGAAAGCGUGGGGAGCAAAACAGG